rnacentral:lncRNA from 1 species
UUCAGUUCUAAUGACACGCCAUGAUCUUGUGAUCCGAAAUGGAAGAAUUAUUGAUCCUGCAAAUAAUGUCGAUUUCAAGAGAGACAUAGUCAUUAACGACGGUAUUAUCCAAACAGUAGGGAUUGAUUUAAAAGUUGAAGCAAUAACGGAAUUCAAUGCAACAGGUUGCUUAGUAACGCCCGGUCUAAUCGAUUGUCAUUUACAAAGCAUGCUUGAGAGUAAUCUGGAUGAAAAAGUCUAACUAGAGGAGUGAAUACUGUUGUGGGACACAUAUAUUACGAUCAAAUUUCAAAGCAAAGGGAUCUAACGGACUAAACAAGCGAAUAUAGUUCAACAUUCAAAUACAAAACUAUUUGAAAGCUGUAAUUUAUCCCUCUAAAGAACCUCAUUUAAAAUACAUUGGUAGAUUUUACAACAGUGGCUUAUUUGUGUAAACAUGGCGUUUAUAUAAAUAACAGAAGAUUACUU